rnacentral:rRNA from 1 species
UACGUAGGGUGCAAGCGUUGUCCGGAAUUAUUGGGCGUAAAGAGCUUGUAGGCGGUUUGUCGCGUCUGCUGUGAAAUUUCGGGGCUCAACCCCGAACUUGCAGUGGGUACGGGCAGACUAGAGUGUGGUAGGGGAGACUGGAAUUCCUGGUGUAGCGGUGAAAUGCGCAGAUAUCAGGAGGAACACCGGUGGCGAAGGCGGCUCUCUGGACGGUGACUGACGCUGAGACGCGAAAGCGUGGGGAGCAAACAGG